rnacentral:rRNA from 1 species
CCCAUGCGGGUCGUGAGUCUUACGGACUCGGCAUACUGCUCAGUAACACGUGGAUAACCUGCCCUAUCGUCUGGAAUAACCUCGGGAAACUGAGAAUAAGGCCGGAUAGUUCACAAUGCCUGGAACGGUUUGUGAAUCAAGGUAGGAUGGGUCUGCGGCGUAUCAGGUUGUAGGGGGUGUAAAGGACCCCCUAGCCUUCGACGCGUACGGGUGUUGGGAGACAUAGCCCGGAGAUGGAUUCUGAGACACGAAUCCAGACCCUACGGGGUGCAGCAGGCGCGAAAACUUCACACUGCAGGAAACUGUGAUGAGGGAACUCCUAGUGCAUGCACUAUGUGUAUGUAGAUCCUACUCUUAACAAGUAGAGGGAAAGGGCUGGGAAAGACCGGUGCCAGCCGCCGCGGUAAUACCGGCAGCUCAAGUGGUCGUCGCUUUUAUUGGGCCUAAAACGUCCGUAGCCUGUUUGGUAAAUCUGUGGGUAAAUCAACCUGCUCAACGGGUUGAAUUCUGCAGAGACUGCCAGACUAGGGACCGGGAGAGGUGUGGGGUACUCGAGGGGUAGGGGUAAAAUCCUGUCAUCCUUCGAGGACCACCAGUUGCGAAGGCGCCACACUGGAACGGAUCCG